ensembl:lncRNA
AUAAAAAAACAUGUUAAGAAAAGGUUGCUUGAGAAGGGCUCUUCAAAGCAGCAGCAUCUUGCAUUCUUCUCGCGUUCUCGCAGAUCUAAAAAUAGCCUCGACUCUUCACGCUCGCUCGGAUCCAACGGAAGCCGUCGGCGACACGUUGAACCAGAACUCUCACAACAAACAACGAGCGGCCGCCAGAUGUGUUUAAGCUGCAUUUGAGACCCGUCCAACCCUUCACACACACCCACCACCCCCCCCUCCCCCCGCACCUUUCCCCUCAUCCAACUUUCCUUCCCACUACAGACCUUCUCUGACAAAUUAAUGAUCAUGAAGUCACAGUUUCCCCCCUCGGCCUGCACAUUAGAUUUUAUUCACUCGGCUGCGAAUCCGUUUGGUGAUUAAACUGACGAGCAGCCGACGAGAGCAGCGAGGAGAGAAACGCUUCUAUUUAACUAAACAUCUUUCUGAGGAGUCUCCCCUCGGCUUCCCUCUGCUUCUGUGAGCGAACAAUGGGGGGUGUUUGCCCCGGACACGCUUCAGAGGUAGUCAAAACACUUGAGAACGUCCCUUUGAGGUUUGCUGAGCGGAGAGGUUCGAUCUUGGGGGGCAGAUAAGGAGCUUAUAAGGACCCCCCCCGAUGCUCCUUCGACUGGGUUGUGUGGCUGUAUGUUGUGUCUCCACGAAGGACACCCGUAUCCUUUUUUUUCCUUUUUAGAUUUGUUACUUUGGGUUCAAACAACGAGUUGCGGUCCGGAAGUCGGCGCCUGUCCGUCGUUAUUUCUGUCAUCGGCGUCUCUUUGCCAAACGCCGCUUGUUUGAUCAGCUCUUCCUUCCCAUCGGGCCUCCGGCUUUCCAGCUGUCGGGGAGGAAGACCAGCGGAGUUUAUUUUGACGUAGAUGUGAUUCAUCGAGACGAGGUCCGAAAUCCUCGACCUGAACCACACGCAGAAGCUCUGCAGAGGGGAGCGGCUUCAUGCCGCUGCUUUCCAACAGAAACCUUCUUCCCUUUCAAGCACCAGAUCUGAAAUGCUUGUUUUAGUUGUGUUUGGGUAAAACGUAUUGUGCACGUUGGAUUCACUCCUUAGCGAUGCUGCCCAAAAGAACAAAAGGCCGGAUUAACUGCUUCUGUUUUCAGAGCGCGGUUCAGGUGGUUCUCCUCCAGGCUGUUGUGCUUGGCCAGCGGCACCGGUCGGGUCUGAGACUCCAGGAAGCCGCUCCCUGCCGUCCAGUCUCUGCUUGUGUGCUGCUUCCUCUGCAAACAUGCCUGUUGAUGUGAGAAGUCACAGGAGGUCUGACGGAAGAGACCAACAAACACACACACACGGCAUGUUUCGCCUGGAUGGAUCACGCCAGCGGUCCGAUUGGAGGUGGGAAGGCGCGGCGAUGGUUUUGCUAACGCUUCUUUUGAAGCAUUGAUGGUUUGAAUUAGGAGGAGAAGGAAUCUGUUUUGCCCGUUUCUCACAAGACUUGAAGAUUUAUUAAUAGCGACCCACCGCAGAUAUCAGAUUUUCCUCAGGUUUCGGUCUCGUGGCUCCUCUUCUGAACACAGAACCCAGUGUUCGUCUUGUGUUUCCCUCCGCGUGGUCCCACCUCUCCUGCAGCCCUCUCUCAACCUUUAACCCCCACCCAGGCACAGCUCGAUUGUGCUGAUGUCAUGAUAUCCGUGCACCGCUUUAACUACGUCAGCCUCUGACUCAGACGACGACAGCUGUGCGCGUGACUGAACAUCUGCAUCGGGCGUCGCGUGUCUCACGGAAGGACUUUGACACUCGUACCUGUUAAUUAACGCGCAAAGACGAGACGUUGCACACGCAGAGCAGGUGAUGCCGUCAGCCACACUUUGUCACCAGGGCGAUCACCUCCGGAUGGCGGAGGAAUCCCAUCCUGAAUCACAAAGUUAUGCUAAGCUAAUGCUGCUCUCAAGAGCCAGGUUGGAAUUUAUUUAAUAGCCACAUGCAAAUUGAGGUAAUAGUCGUAUUUACGGCUAAAAAGUGCUCUUCAAAGAACAAACUUUGAGAAGUUUGAAUCCUGAUAUUUUGCUAAAAGUCUGUUGCAUAAAGCGGCCGCGGCACCAUGACGCCUUUCUGCGUGUAGAGAGUCUGUUCAUCUCUGCAGAAGCACGACGCUCUGACCUGCAUCGGUUCCAUUUCCCACACUGGCUGGAAGUAAAAGGUCGUGACCUGUGGUAUUUUUACUCGCGGCCCCUCACCGUUAUCGUGGGGCCCUAUUUCAGGCUCCUUAUAAAUCCUGUUGAUCCGACACACCUUCAGGAGCACAAAUCCACCGCCCCGCUCCCCGUGUCCGCAGUCACAUUAUCUGUUCAUUGUUUUUGGAUUCAACACUUUCAUCAAACGCUGAUUGUUUCCAAACUAAAAAACGUUUUUUCUUUUAUUAGGGAAGCCAAAUUAAGAGUAAUUGUUUUUAUUAUUCAUUACAUUGUUUUUCUUUUUAAUUAGUCUACAUGAUUGUUUAAUAGUCAAUUGAUAAUUUUCUUAUUUAGUAGCAAUGUUUUGGUUUAAAUGUUUUGUAUUCAUUUGUACAUUGGAAUUAUUUUAAUAGCUUUCAAAAUCCUUUCCAAUUUAGAUCAACAAAUAAAGAUUAUUAUUGAUGGACACAUUUGGGCAAAAACCGAAAACUUCUCAACAUUUUGACUUGGUAACAGAAAAGAAAAUACGCGCAGUAGCAAACUGAUCUGAUUUCCUUUUUGUUUGUUCGUUAAAUUAUAAUAUUCACCUCAGUUGUUAAAGCUAAAAUAUAGUGUGUAUAUAUAUAUAUAUAUAUAUAUAUAUAUAUUAUAUAUAUACUAACCAUCUACUUCUUAGAUAUCCAUCAAGUCAUAUUGUCUCUAUUAUUUAAAAAACAUCUGCAUUAGUUGUUUGCUCUGUAAACACGCGUUUGUCCUCCAGAUGGGAUCUACUGUCCUCGUCAUCGGACCAACCGGCUGCCGUGAGUUUGUUUUCCUCUGAAUCCCACAGGCGUGUUUGUUGUGUUUGUCCACCAUAAAGUGACGUCUGUCUGCCGAGUGGAAGACGACACCUUAUCAAGCUGUAGGGAAAUUACCCCCCCCCCAUAAAACAGUUGUUUUAUUUCAGAUGUUAGAGAACAACUGGACUGUUUCUGAGGUGGAGGUGAUGUCUUCAUGUAGUUAGAAUGCUUUAAAGUGCACAGACACGCCAUUUCUGUCAGGUUUUAAUUGUAUGUGGAUUAUUUUUCAUGCCCCGUUGUUUGUUUAGUCAAAUGUGUCGUUGCCUUUAAUCCUAUUCCUUUGCAUGCUCUUCGUGGGGUGUUGGCAGACUUUCAGUGCGGCUGCCUCUCAAAGGCUCAUUUUGACUUCUCGGCCUGAUGUCACAUCUUCUUCUUUGGUGUUUAAUGAUACUGUUACAAAUCCACAGGCACAUCAACUUUGAAUUUGGCUACGACUAAAAUAAAAACACUAUAGUCCCUUAAAAACGUGUUGUGUGUGUGUGUGUUGAGGGGAAUUCUCUGUCUCCACCACGUGGAACCCAACGUGCUCGGUCUCGGCGGUCCCUUUGAGGCGAGCUCGUCCCACCGGUCGGAUGCGAGUGGGUCUGAGAAAGGGGGGUGUGAGGAGGAGUGAGGAGGUUUCUGAUUUUGCUACUGAAGGGAGCAUCUUAUCGACUCCUGCAGUGUCCUCGCGUCCGUCAACGUGUUCGGUAACGAGCGGUUAAAAUUUAUGAAAAGAAAAAUCAGAGAUAAAGUUGAAAGAAAAAAGCACCGUAACAAUCCUGGGACAUAAACAAUGCAUUUUGUACUUAAUAACAGUGAGUAAUGGUGGGAUCUAUGUUUUAAAGAAACAGUUAGUUAGUAAAAUGGUUGUAGAUUUAUCUAAUUAUAUUCAAUGUGUGUUGAUGUUCUUCUUCGAGUUUUAGGAGUAAUAUUGUUUGCUGUUGGACU